rnacentral:lncRNA from 1 species
CUAAUUAUACGCACUAAUAAAAUUAGCACUCAAACCGUCUGUAGUUUUCGGAUCACACCGUCAUUUAGAUCGCUAACCGACCUUUUAAUUUAAAAAGAUAUUUAAAAAUUAAACAUUGAUGUCACAUAUGACUCAGAUAACAAAUAUUAUUUAUUCUGGUUUGAACAUUAAAAAAAAAUCUAAAAAAAACAAAGAACAACAACUACCACUUGCCUAUUUAA